rnacentral:rRNA from 1 species
UACCAGCACCCCGAGUGGUCGGGACGAUUAUUGGGCCUAAAGCAUCCGUAGCCGGUCAUGCAAGUCUUCCGUUAAAUCCAGCCGCUCGACGGUUGGGCUGCGGAGGAUACUACGUGGCUAGGAGGCGGGAGAGGCAAGCGGUACUCAGUGGGUAGGGGUAAAAUCCUUUGAUCCAUUGAAGACCACCAGUGGCGAAGGCGGCUUGCCAGAACGCGCUCGACGGUGAGGGAUGAAAGCUGGGGGAGCAAACCGG